UCUGAGGAAGUGACUAACACCCAACCCCCUUGAUAAGAGACAGAACUUCUCAUGGGCAGACAGCGGCUAAUCAGGAGCAGCCAGAGAGCACCUGCAUACUGCGCUGCCGCCUCCACAAAGCCAUGCUGUGGACCUGUCCCCUCCUCUACCUCGCCACCUUCUGUGCCGAGGUCUCAUUGGAUAUCCUUUUGGAACCAGACACCAAAACCCUGACUGUUCUAGUCGGGGAGACUGCCACCUUGCGCUGCAGCGUAUCAGGAGGGGACUUGAAGAACUAUCAGGACAGAUGAGAACAUGAAGUUCUCAGAACCUGAGACAGGCAUGGGGUGAGGAUGAAAAACAGAGCCUGUAGCCAAGGAAGAGGGACAUCUUGGGAGAAAACAAGCAGCCUGCCCAGCAAUGAUCUGCGAGAGUCUGAGCACAAAACAGUGAAAAAGGAAACCGAACAUAAAUUAAAAUUAGAGACCAGGGGGGCGCCUGGGUGGCUCAAUCGUUAAGUGUCUGCCUUCAGCUCAGGUCAUGAUCCCAGGGUCCUGGGAUCGAG